CGCACAUCACUAACCCCACCCACCCCCACCUACAUGAUUCAUUAAUCAUUAGUGAUCAGUCAGUGGAUGAGUGCUUGUUAAAGUAAUCUUGUUAUUGAAGUAGUAUUUUCGUCAUAAACUAUUUGACAAUUCAUAAGGACUUUAGGGAUUUAUUGCUCUACAGCUAUAGGAGGCAACUUGCAAUGGAGUCUUCAUAUUUGUUGAAAGAGCCGCAGAUCGAGCAGAGUUCAUGGAGCUUUCCAUU